rnacentral:rRNA from 1 species
UACGUAGGUGGCAAGCGUUGUCCGGAUUUACUGGGCGUAAAGAGCGCGCAGGCGGUCGUUCAAGUCGCGUGUGAAAGCCCCCGGCUCAACUGGGGAGGGUCACGCGAUACUGAUCGACUCGAAGGCAGGAGAGGGUAGUGGAAUUCCCGGUGUAGUGGUGAAAUGCGUAGAUAUCAGGAGGAACACCGAUGGCGAAGGCAGGUCUCUGGGCAUUAACUGACGCUGAGGAGCGAAAGCGUGGGGAGCAAACAGG